GACGUAGGGGGCCAGCGUUGUUCGGAAUUACUGGGUGUAAAGGGUUCGUAGGCGGUGCGGCAAGUUGGGAGUGAAAUCUCUGGGCUUAACCCAGAGGCUGCUUCCAAAACUGCUGUGCUUGAGUGUGGGAGAGGCGCGUGGAAUUGCAGGUGUAGCGGUGAAAUGCGUAGAUAUCUGCAGGAACACCCGUGGCGAAAGCGGAUCUCUGGGCCAUUAUUGACGCUGAGGAGCGAAAGCGUGGGGAGCGAACAGG
rnacentral:rRNA from 1 species